AAGUACUAUUGAUCAAUUGUUCCCAUGUGUUGAGAAAGCCUUUGAUAGAUGUAGUAUUACAGAAACUGGUGUUACCGUCAAAAAGAUUUCAACUGUUAGUCGGGAUUACUGUUUAAACUUCGCCAGUGAUCCUAAAAUUCACAACUGCCAACAGAUCAUCAUGUGUCAAAUGAAUGAAAACUAUACAAUGAGUGAUCCCUUACAGAUGACCAACAGUACCUUCUGGUGUGGUUAUUACGCAGCUUCCAUAGAUUGUAUUCAUGACGUAAUUCAAAAAGAUAUGUGUCCUGAUAUAGUACCAAUGAAAACUCAGUACUUGACAAAAGUUGGUAAUAUACAGAAACAAGUAACAGGAGUUUGCACAAUCCAUAAAGUAUAUACAGAACAUACAGAACAAACGGAUAACAACA